rnacentral:rRNA from 1 species
UACGUAGGGUCCGAGCGCUUGUUCGGAGUUACUGGGCGUAAAGGGUGCGUAGGCGGUUGUUUAAGUUUGGUGUGAAAUCUCCCGGCUCAACCGGGAGGGUGCGCCGAAUACUGAACGGCUAGAGUGCGGGAGAGGAGAGUGGAAUUCCUGGUGUAGCGGUGAAAUGCGUAGAUAUCAGGAGGAACACCGGUGGUGUAGACGGCUCUCUGGACCGUAACUGACGCUGAGGCACGAAAGCGUGGGUAGCAAACAGG